rnacentral:lncRNA from 1 species
CUGUCUCCUGCCUUUGCUUUUUGUUUUUGGGGCUGUUGCAUGCCGACCUGUUUCUUAGAGUUGUGACAGCCAUCCUGUGGCCGUGGAGCAAAAAGUCUGAGGAUAAAAGUCACCCACUGAGGAGAGGGAGUGGAAGGAUGAAAAGUGGUCAGGUCCUUGAUGGCGCCAUUAAACCACAAACCAAACUAGGACUGCCAGCCAAAUGCAUGUUGACUGAUACUCAGACUGAGUCCCUGGAACCUGUGAUUUGUAAGAGAGAGAGAGAGAAUCCGGGCCUAGGAAAAAGAUUUGGGUCAAGCCCAAGUCAGCAAUUCUGUAGGUCAGAAGUCCAGGUGGACUCUGCUGCC